AUCACUUCUCGGCCUUUUGGCUAAGAUCAAGUGUAGUAUCGGUUCUUAUCAGUUUCAUACCGGUGGAGAAGUCCCACCGGUGUGGGGCUGGUGGGGAUGGGUGCUGCAUGGAGGAGGCUGGUGUCCCGGGCGUUUGGGGUCUGGUUCUGAGGAAUCAGCUCGACGGCUGUCCUGAUGUGACCUGUU